rnacentral:rRNA from 1 species
CAGUAGUGUAUUAUAAUGUUGUUGCAGUUAAAAAGCUCGUAGUCGGAAUGAGGUACGUACUGCUUGGCUAUGUGAUCCGCGCCAUUCGUUUGGGGCGGGAUCCUGUAAGAGGGAUGAGAUAUGUAGCGAGGCAGGUGUAUAGGAUGUGAUCGCAGCACCCACCGGUUCCAUUAAUUUGGAGGCGGCCCAAAUUGCGCGGCGGGGGUCCGCAGCGCGAGGGGUGGGCGAUAUGUUACCUUGAGUAAAGUAGAGCGUUCAAAGCAGUUCGUAGAACAUUGAAUAUUUCAGCAUGGGAUAACGUAAUACGCCCAGGUUUUUUUUGGGGCUCCUCCCGCCCUCCUUCGGGGGGGCGGAUCGGGGCGGAGAAGCCUGGGAAUGAUUGAUAGGGAUGACUGGGGACAUUCGUAUUGGGAGGCUAGAGGUGAAAUUCUGUGAUUCUUUCAAGACGAACAUAAGCGAAAGCAUCUGUCAAGGGCGUUUNCGUUG